rnacentral:rRNA from 1 species
UUAAGCGACUAAGCGUACACGGUGGAUGCCCUGGCAGUCAGAGGCGAUGAAGGACGUGCUAAUCUGCGAUAAGCGUCGGUAAGGUGAUAUGAACCGUUAUAACCGGCGAUUUCCGAAUGGGGAAACCCAGUGUGAUUCGUCACACUAUCAUUAACUGAAUCCAUAGGUUAAUGAGGCGAACCGGGGGAACUGAAACAUCUAAGUACCCCGAGGAAAAGAAAUCAACCGAGAUUCCCCCAGUAGCGGCGAGCGAACGGGGAGCAGCCCAGAGCCUGAAUCAGUGUGUGUGUUAGUGGAAGCGUCUGGAAAGGCGCGCGAUACAGGGUGACAGCCCCGUACAUAAAAAUGCACAUGCUGUGAGCUCGAUGAGUAGGGCGGGACACGUGGUAUCCUGUCUGAAUAUGGGGGGACCAUCCUCCAAGGCUAAAUACUCCUGACUGACCGAUAGUGAACCAGUACCGUGAGGGAAAGGCGAAAAGAACCCCGGCGAGGGGAGUGAAAAAGAACCUGAAACCGUGUACGUACAAGCAGUGGGAGCACGCUUAGGCGUGUGACUGCGUACCUUUUGUAUAAUGGGUCAGCGACUUAUAUUCUGUAGCAAGGUUAACCGAAUAGGGGAGCCGAAGGGAAACCGAGUCUUAACUGGGCGUUAAGUUGCAGGGUAUAGACCCGAAACCCGGUGAUCUAGCCAUGGGCAGGUUGAAGGUUGGGUAACACUAACUGGAGGACCGAACCGACUAAUGUUGAAAAAUUAGCGGAUGACUUGUGGCUGGGGGUGAAAGGCCAAUCAAACCGGGAGAUAGCUGGUUCUCCCCGAAAGCUAUUUAGGUAGCGCCUCGUGAAUUCAUCUCCGGGGGUAGAGCACUGUUUCGGCAAGGGGGUCAUCCCGACUUACCAACCCGAUGCAAACUACGAAUACCGGAGAAUGUUAUCACGGGAGACACACGGCGGGUGCUAACGUCCGUCGUGAAGAGGGAAACAACCCAGACCGCCAGCUAAGGUCCCAAAGUCAUGGUUAAGUGGGAAACGAUGUGGGAAGGCCCAGACAGCCAGGAUGUUGGCUUAGAAGCAGCCAUCAUUUAAAGAAAGCGUAAUAGCUCACUGGUCGAGUCGGCCUGCGCGGAAGAUGUAACGGGGCUAAACCAUGCACCGAAGCUGCGGCAGCGACGCUGAUGCGUUGUUGGGUAGGGGAGCGUUCUGUAAGCCUGCGAAGGUGUGCUGUGAGGCAUGCUGGAGGUAUCAGAAGUGCGAAUGCUGACAUAAGUAACGAUAAAGCGGGUGAAAAGCCCGCUCGCCGGAAGACCAAGGGUUCCUGUCCAACGUUAAUCGGGGCAGGGUGAGUCGACCCCUAAGGCGAGGCCGAAAGGCGUAGUCGAUGGGAAACAGGUUAAUAUUCCUGUACUUGGUGUUACUGCGAAGGGGGGACGGAGAAGGCUAUGUUGGCCGGGCGACGGUUGUCCCGGUUUAAGCGUGUAGGCUGGUUUUCCAGGCAAAUCCGGAAAAUCAAGGCUGAGGCGUGAUGACGAGGCACUACGGUGCUGAAGCAACAAAUGCCCUGCUUCCAGGAAAAGCCUCUAAGCAUCAGGUAACAUCAAAUCGUACCCCAAACCGACACAGGUGGUCAGGUAGAGAAUACCAAGGCGCUUGAGAGAACUCGGGUGAAGGAACUAGGCAAAAUGGUGCCGUAACUUCGGGAGAAGGCACGCUGAUAUGUAGGUGAAGCGACUUGCUCGUGGAGCUGAAAUCAGUCGAAGAUACCAGCUGGCUGCAACUGUUUAUUAAAAACACAGCACUGUGCAAACACGAAAGUGGACGUAUACGGUGUGACGCCUGCCCGGUGCCGGAAGGUUAAUUGAUGGGGUCAGCGCAAGCGAAGCUCUUGAUCGAAGCCCCGGUAAACGGCGGCCGUAACUAUAACGGUCCUAAGGUAGCGAAAUUCCUUGUCGGGUAAGUUCCGACCUGCACGAAUGGCGUAAUGAUGGCCAGGCUGUCUCCACCCGAGACUCAGUGAAAUUGAACUCGCUGUGAAGAUGCAGUGUACCCGCGGCAAGACGGAAAGACCCCGUGAACCUUUACUAUAGCUUGACACUGAACAUUGAGCCUUGAUGUGUAGGAUAGGUGGGAGGCUUUGAAGUGUGGACGCCAGUCUGCAUGGAGCCGACCUUGAAAUACCACCCUUUAAUGUUUGAUGUUCUAACGUGGACCCGUAAUCCGGGUUGCGGACAGUGUCUGGUGGGUAGUUUGACUGGGGCGGUCUCCUCCUAAAGAGUAACGGAGGAGCACGAAGGUUGGCUAAUCCUGGUCGGACAUCAGGAGGUUAGUGCAAUGGCAUAAGCCAGCUUGACUGCGAGCGUGACGGCGCGAGCAGGUGCGAAAGCAGGUCAUAGUGAUCCGGUGGUUCUGAAUGGAAGGGCCAUCGCUCAACGGAUAAAAGGUACUCCGGGGAUAACAGGCUGAUACCGCCCAAGAGUUCAUAUCGACGGCGGUGUUUGGCACCUCGAUGUCGGCUCAUCACAUCCUGGGGCUGAAGUAGGUCCCAAGGGUAUGGCUGUUCGCCAUUUAAAGUGGUACGCGAGCUGGGUUUAGAACGUCGUGAGACAGUUCGGUCCCUAUCUGCCGUGGGCGCUGGAGAACUGAGGGGGGCUGCUCCUAGUACGAGAGGACCGGAGUGGACGCAUCACUGGUGUUCGGGUUGUCAUGCCAAUGGCACUGCCCGGUAGCUAAAUGCGGAAGAGAUAAGUGCUGAAAGCAUCUAAGCACGAAACUUGCCCCGAGAUGAGUUCUCCCUGACUCCUUGAGAGUCCUGAAGGAACGUUGAAGACGACGACGUUGAUAGGCCGGGUGUGUAAGCGCAGCGAUGCGUUGAGCUAACCGGUACUAAUGAACCGUGAGGCUUAACCUU